rnacentral:lncRNA from 1 species
UCUGCCUCAGCCUCCUGAGUCAUUAGAACUACAAUAUGUGCCAUCAUGCCCAGGUAGAAUAAUUUAUAUUUUGACACUUCUUUAUCUUGUCAAAAAGGCUAAAUGUUCAUUUAUACAUAUAAGUAUUCUUGUUGGGUUUCUUUGCAUGAUUUUUUUCCUUUCCUUUUUGGCCAAAAACCAGGGCAAUAAGUAAAUCUUGAAAUGCCAAAAUCAAAGCUGGUAGCAUGGUAACAGAAAAUGUAUUACUAUUAAGAAACAGACAUCUCCCUCCCUCAAAACACACACAGGUAAGCCUCAGGCAAAUACAGGUCAGUGCUUACGCAUCAUCCCUGGCCAUCAGGGGUUGCAGAAACAAUCCUGCUGUCCCUAAAAUGCACACCAGGAUGAAAACCCAUAGAAAA